rnacentral:rRNA from 1 species
GUCUACGGCCAUACCACCCUGAACGCGCCCAUCUCGUCUGAUCUCGGAAGCUAAGCGGGGUCGGGCCUGGUUAGUACUUGGAUGGGAGACCGCCUGGGAAUACCUGUAGGCUUUUUUUU